CCCCCAUUAACCCCUUCCUGCCCGUGCAGGUGCAACAAGCUGUGGAUCUGCAUGGAGCUGUGUGGUGGGGGCUCUUUGCAGGACAUUUACAAUGUGACCGGACCCCUUUCAGAGCCACAGAUCGCAUAUGUGUGCAGGGAGACCCUGGAGGGGUUGUCCUACCUGCAUUGCCAGGGCAAGAUCCACCGUGAUAUCAAGGUAAGGGGGGCACAAAUUAGGGGG